rnacentral:rRNA from 1 species
AAUACAGAGGGGGCAAGCGUUAUUCGGAAUUAUUGGGCGUAAAGGGCGCGUAGGCGGCUUUGCAAGUGGCGGGUGAAAUCCCUCGGCUUAACCGAGGAACUGCCUGCCAGACUGCGAGGCUCGAGACCGGGAGAGGUGAGUGGAAUUCCCAGUGUAGCGGUGAAAUGCGUAGAUAUUGGGAGGAACACCAGUGGCGAAGGCGGCUCACUGGACCGGAACUGACGCUGAGGCGCGAAAGCGUGGGGAGCAAACAGGA